rnacentral:lncRNA from 1 species
CCUGCCUUUCCAAUACCUAUUCAGGAGCAAAAACCAUGAUAAACUCCCUUUGCAUCUUUUGUAAGAGAGAUAGACAAACGCUGGAGAGUUUCUCUGCAGUUGUGUGACCUUGGGUAGUUUCUUCAACUACAGAAAGAGAGUUGAGCAGAUGCUCUGGGUGCCACUCCAUCAUAUACUGGAAACAGCAUUACUUUAUAUUAAAUCAUGACCAUGGUGUAUGGCAAUGAAGGUGCAUCUGAAGCAGCCGGCACCCUAUGUGCUAGCUGGCUUUUAGAGCAGGAGACUGUGAAUCUGUGGUCAGGAUCUCUUUAGGGCUGGCUAAAUAUAUACUACCCACUAUCACUCACUGGAGCUGCAGACCCUAGUCUUAGAGUUUCACUUCUUAAAGACCUUCAUCCUUAUUAAAAUGGUAAUAUCC